GCUUACGGCCAUACCACCUUAGGCACGCCCGAUCUCGUCUGAUCUCGGAAGAUAAGCAGGGUCGGGCCUGGUUAGUACUUCGAUGGGUGACCGCCUGGGAAUACCAGGUGCUGUAAGCA
ensembl:rRNA 5S_rRNA 5S ribosomal RNA